rnacentral:rRNA from 1 species
UGGGGAAUCUUCCGCGAUGGGCGCAAGCCUGACGGAGCAACGCCGCGUGAGUGAAGAAGGUUUUCGGAUCGUAAAGCUCUGUUGAGAGGGACGAGAGAUAUAAUCAGGAAAUGGGUUAUAGAGGACGGUACCUUUCGAGGAAGCCACGGCUAACUACGUGCCAGCAGCCGCGGUAAUACGUAGGUGGCGAGCGUUGUCCGGAUUUACUGGGUGUAAAGGGCGAGUAGGCGGUCUUGCAAGUCAGAUGUGAAAUACCGGAGCUCAACUCCGGGGCUGCAUUUGAAACUGUAGGACUUGAGUGAUGGAGAGGCAGGCGGAAUUCCCGGUGUAGCGGUGGAAUGCGUAGAUAUCGGGAGGAACACCAGUGGCGAAGGCGGCCUGCUGGACAUUAACUGACGCUGAGGAGCGAAAGCGUGGGGAGCAAACAGGAUUAGAUACCCUGGUAGU